rnacentral:rRNA from 1 species
GGGGAGGCAGCAGUGGGGAAUAUUGCACAAUGGGGGAAACCCUGAUGCAGCCAUGCCGCGUGUGUGAAGAAGGCCUUCGGGUUGUAAAGCACUUUCAGUAGGGAGGAAGGUAGUGUAGUUAACACCUGCAUUAUUUGACGUUACCUACAGAAGAAGCACCGGCUAACUCCGUGCCAGCAGCCGCGGUAAUACGGAGGGUGCGAGCGUUAAUCGGAAUUACUGGGCGUAAAGCGCAUGCAGGCGGCCUGUUAAGUCAGAUGUGAAAGCCCGGGGCUUAACCUCGGAAUUGCAUUUGUAAACUGGCAGGCUAGAGUCUUGUAGAGGGGGGUAGGAAUUUCAGGUGUAGCGGUGAAAUGCGUAGAGAUCUGAAGGAAUACCAGUGGCGAAGGCGGCCCCCUCGGACAAAGACUGACGCUCAGAUGCGAAAGCGUGGGGAGCAAACAGGAUUAGAUACCCUGGUAG